rnacentral:lncRNA from 1 species
UGCUGCCAUGCUGGCUGGCUAGGUUGCUCUGUGUUCCUGGCUCCCAGCCAACCCGCUGCAGCUGAGCUGCUCCCAGCUUGGAGACUCACACAGACCUCCUAAGGUUUUACCACCGUGUGCUUGGGAUCAGCUUGGACUGCGGCCUACCCGCACCCGGAGGCCUCCAGCCCUUGAACUGAGUUGGAGUAGAUCUCGGCUUUCAGCAGGGUCCGUGCAGUGGCCUUAAAGCCGCACCUCAUUCAGUGGUUGCUGCUGCAAGGCCGUAUACUCUCUCAGAUAAGCGGAGCCACUUUUGUGACCUCUCUCCACAGCUGCCACCCACCAUUGCCAAAUGCCGAGGACUAACUGAACACCCGUGCCACCCACUGGUCAAAGAUAGUUACUGCAUCUGGAGUAGAAAUCAGGUAAAAUUAUGGCGGAAUAUUUAUCAUUUGCUAAAAUUGGUAAUAUUUUUGCUUAUUACGUGAAUUCACUGUUUGAGGAGGAUGCUAAUUUGCCAAUUACUGGCCUAUAUGCCGUAAUGGCAGUUAGCUUGCUGGUACAAAUAGUAUUACUAGCCAGAGGAUUCAGGAAUAGGGAUAAGGAUAACCUUACCACCUACUUACAGGAAAUAACAGUUUUACGCAAUGAGGUUUUGGAGAAAAGAUUAGGUCAGACCACAAUUAUGCAGCAAGUAGAACAGAAAUUGGAUGAUAAGCUUGGCUCUGUGUCCAAUAUGCUAAAGACAGAGCUGUCUGUUACCCAAGAUGAGAUGCAGCAUAUUUAUACCAUGUCUGAGGCCUUAGAGGCUAGGCUGUCAGAAGACCAUGAUGAGCUAAAAAAUAUCUGUAGCCAGCUAGAAACUCAGAUAGGCAAUGUUACCCAGGAAUUAGAUGCAAAGGUGCAAGAUACCCAGGAUAGGGUUGAAGAAUUGGACAAUGCCUUUCAAUCAAUUAUUGAAGCAUCCAAGGUAGCAGAUCACAAAUUUGAGUCUAGAUUUGAAUGUUUGGAAGAUAAUUUACAGUACAGGGCUGACAGAUUACAUAGGUCCAUAUGGUUGAUUGCUGAGGACUCAAAAUCAGCAAAUCAUGACCUCGAAUCUAGACUCCAAUACCUAGAAGGCAGUUUCCAUGCCAUCCAGAUGCUGCCUAAGGAUGAUCAUAUUAAAGACCUAGAAAAACAUGUAAAUGAGCAGUUAGAGCAAUUUACAGAUUCACUAACAUGAUUGGAAUCUUUUAUGAUUAAGGAGAUUAAAACUUUUCAAAAGGAUAUCAUUACUAGGCUUAAAGAUCAUUGGGAACACUCCAAUCCCAGGCACCUACUCCACCCAGGUAUCAUGACUAUUCUUCUAAGGUUGCUACUCGUACACCAUUAGUGUACCCAGCUACCAUGGUAGAAAAGCCAGCUUCUAAGAAACACCCCCAUGGACGGAUGGCUUAUGAAUGGCAACCUAUACAGCUGAAGGAUCUUAAGAAUAUUAAAGAAUCAGUUGUCUCAUCUAGUCUCCAUAGCC